UGGGCUUGACAUGUCCGGAAUCCUACAGAGAUGCGGGAGUGCCCUUCGGGGAAUCGGAACAC
rnacentral:rRNA from 1 species